rnacentral:misc_RNA from 1 species
UCCGGCUUAUCACCGGCAGUCCCUCUAGAGUGCCCAACUUAAUGCUGGCAACUAAAGGCAAGGGUUGCGCUCGUUGCGGGACUUAACCCAACAUCUCACGACACGAGCUGACGACAGCCAUGCAGCACCUGUGCAGUUCGCCUUACGGCCAUUGCCUUUCGCCGGUUUCACCCUGCAUGUCAAGCCCAGGUAAGGUUCUUCGCGUCGCAUCGAAUUAAGCAACAUGCUCCGCCGCUUGUGCGGGGCCCCGUCAAUUCCUUUGAGUUUUAGCCUUGCGGCCGUACUCCCCAGGCGGGGUGCUUAAUGCGUUAGCUUCGGCACGGACGGGGUUGAUAUCCGCCCACACCUAGCACCCAACGUUUACAGCUAGGACUA